AUUGAACGCUGGCGGCAUGCCUUACACAUGCAAGUCGAACGGUAACGGGCCUUCGGGUGCCGACGAGUGGCGAACGGGUGAGUAAUACAUCGGAACGUGCCCGAUCGUGGGGGAUAACGAGGCGAAAGCUUUGCUAAUACCGCAUACGAUCUACGGAUGAAAGCAGGGGACCGCAAGGCCUUGCGCGGACGGAGCGGCCGAUGGCAGAUUAGGUAGUUGGUGGGAUAAAAGCUUACCAAGCCGACGAUCUGUAGCUGGUCUGAGAGGAUGAUCAGCCACACUGGGACUGAGACACGGCCCAGACUCCUACGGGAGGCAGCAGUGGGGAAUUUUGGAAGAGGGGCGCAAGCCUGAUCCAGCCAUGCCGCGUGCAGGAUGAAGGCCUUCGGGUUGUAAACUGCUUUUGUACGGAACAAAAAGCCUUCUUUUAAUACAGGAGGGUCAUGACGGUACCGUAAGAAGAAGCACAGGCUAACUACG
rnacentral:rRNA from 1 species